ensembl:lncRNA NDUFA6-DT NDUFA6 divergent transcript
GGACUACACCAUCUGUCGCUCGCUCUAACGAGCCGGCGUUGCCGCCAGGGGACGCUCGGGCCGCAGGAGGUCGCUGGGUCGUGAGCUGGCGCCGGGGACGCCGAGCGACUGCGGGGUUUCCCUCAGCGUCCUGCUAUCCGGCUGCCCGCCGCGCUCCUUGGUAGUGUCCGUGGGCGCGCAGGCCUUGAAGAACCUCCUCGUGGCGGGACCCCGAGCGCAGGAGAGGUGUCAAAGAGCUGGCGCGUCUCCAGAGCCCCGGGAGGAAGGCUGUAACGGCAGCCCCAUCGUAGACAGGGACAUUCGCAUCCCGAGCCCUGGAUCUCUGAAAACCAGCCCAGAAUUUGGAAGCUGGAAGGAACUUUAGAUCGUCCAUUCUGAGUGUCUCUCUUCGCUGGCGUUUUCCCACUGAGGUUAUGUAAACAUGAAGAGGAGCCUACAAGUGUCAAGGAAAAAACGACAGCUAACCACAGGGCAGGCCAUGGGCAAGAUAUCUCAGUGUUCUCCGCUCUCAUAGGUCAGGUCACGACCCCCAGGAGACCUGGAGGACUGAAUGCUGCUGCCCCCAAGGAGGAGGCUGCUGUCUUAUCCCAGGAGGGAGAGCAGAACCUGCCUGAUCUCACUGCUGGAUCCCUCUUCUUCCUGCCAGGAAAAUAAAAAGGUUCAAAAGGAAGUUGCUGCGUAUCCAUCUGAGGCCUCUGAGGACAGCAAAGAGCAAAGGCCCUGGGACCGGGUCUACGUGCCCAUGACAGAGCUCUGGCUGGACUGGUUCUGAGC